rnacentral:rRNA from 1 species
AACGAACGCUGGCGGCAGGCCUAACACAUGCAAGUCGAACGCCCUAGCAAUAGGGAGUGGCAGACGGGUGAGUAACACGUGGGAACCUUCCCUAUAGUACGGAAUAUACCAGGGAAACUUGGAGCAAUACCGUAUACGCCCGAGAGGGGAAAGAUUUAUCGCUAUAGGAUGGGCCCGCGUAGGACUAGCUAGUUGGUGAGGUAAUGGCUCACCAAGGCGACGAUCCUUAGCUGGUUUGAGAGAACGACCAGCCACACUGGGACUGAGACACGGCCCAGACUCCUACGGGAGGCAGCAGUGGGGAAGUAUUGGACAAUGGGCGGCAAGCCUGAUCCAGCCAUGCCGCGUGAGUGAUGAAGGCCUUAGGGUUGUAAAGCUCUUUUGCCGGGACGAUAAUGACGGUACCCGGAGAAUAAGUCCCGGCUAACUUCGUGCCAGCAGCCGCCGU